rnacentral:rRNA from 1 species
UUGUAGCUGGCGCCCUACCCGCGAUGUGCACGCCUCUUUCAAAUCCACUCACACCUGUGCACCUUCGCGUGGGUCCGGGGUAACACCUGGGCUCGCGUCCCUUUUUACAACUCUUUUGUAUGUCCUCAGAAUGUACAUCAUUGAUGUCUUUAAAACGCAUCUAAUACAACUUUCAACAACGGAUCUCUUGGCUCUCGCAUCGAUGAAGAACGCAGCGAAAUGCGAUAAGUAAUGUGAAUUGCAGAAUUCAGUGAAUCAUCGAAUCUUUGAACGCACCUUGCGCCCUUUGGUAUUCCGAAGGGCACACCUGUUUGAGUGUCGUGAAAUCCUCAACCCUCCUCACUUUUUUGUGAUCGGGGCUUGGACUUAGAGGCUUUGCCGGACCCUCAGGGUUUCGGCUCCUCUCAAAUGCAUUAGUGCCGUCUUGUUGCGGAUGCGCCUUCGGUGUGAUAAUUAUCUACGCCGUGUCAGUGUGCGCCGCUUCUAUUUGGGAUGCGCUUACAACCGUCCGAAAGGACAAAUCUUCGAUACUGACCUC